rnacentral:rRNA from 1 species
GGAGCUUGCUCCUCUGAUCAGUGGCGAACGGGUGAGUAACACGUGAGCAACCUGCCCCAGACUCUGGGAUAACAGUUGGAAACAGCUGCUAAUACCGGAUACGAGACGGAGAGGCAUCUCUACCGCCUGGAAAGUUUUUCGGUCUGGGAUGGACUCGCGGCCUAUCAGCUAGUUGGUGAGGUAAUGGCUCACCAAGGCGACGACGGGUAGCCGGCCUGAGAGGGCGACCGGCCACACUGGGACUGAGACACGGCCCAGACUCCUACGGGAAGCAGCAGUGGGGAAUAUUGCACAAUGGGCGAAAGCCUGAUGCAGCGACGCCGCGUGAGGGAUGACGGCCUUCGGGUUGUAAACCUCUUUCAGCAGGGAAGAAGCGAAAGUGACGGUACCUGCAGAAGAAGCACCGGCUAACUACGUGCCAGCAGCCGCGGUAAUACGUAGGGUGCGAGCGUUGUCCGGAAUUAUUGGGCGUAAAGAGCUUGUAGGCGGUUUGUCGCGUCUGCAGUGAAAAUCCGAGGCUCAACCUCGGACUUGCUGUGGGUACGGGCAGACUAGAGUAUGGUAGGGGAGACCGGAAUUCCUGGUGUAGCGGUGGAAUGCGCAGAUAUCAGGAGGAACACCGAUGGCGAAGGCAGGUCUCUGGGCCAUAACUGACGCUGAGAAGCGAAAGCAUGGGGAGCGAACAGGAUUAGAUACCCUGGUAGUCCAUGCCGUAAACGUUGGGCGCUAGGUGUGGGGCUCAUUCCACGAGCUCCGUGCCGCAGCUAACGCAUUAAGCGCCCCGCCUGGGGAGUACGGCCGCAAAGCUAAAACUCAAAGGAAUUGACGGGGGCCCGCACAAGCGGCGGAGCAUGCGGAUUAAUUCGAUGCAACGCGAAG